rnacentral:rRNA from 1 species
AGGAUAGACGCUGGCGGCGUGCCUAACACAUGCAAGUCGAACGCCCUACGCAAGUAGGGAGUGGCGGACGGGUGAGGAACACGUGGGUUAUCUGCCUUUCGGUGAGGAAUACCAGCGAGAAAUCGCUGACAAUACCGCAUACGGUUCUUUCGAGAGGAAGAACGAAAGUCGUAAGACGCCGGGAGAUGAGCCUGCGCCCGAUUAGUUUGUUGGUGGGGUAAAAGCCUACCAAGACUGCAAUCGGUAGCUGGUCUGAGAGGACGAUCAGCCACACUGGGAUUGAGAACGGCCCAGACUCCUACGGGGGGCAGCAGUGAGGAAUUUUCGUCAAUGGGGGAAACCCUGAACGAGCAACGCCGCGUGCAGGAAGAAGGUUUUCGGAUCGUAAACUGCUUUUCUGUGGGAAGAGAGCGGACGGUACCACAGGAAGAAGCCCCGGCUAACUACGUGCCAGCAGCCGC